rnacentral:tRNA from 1 species
GGGAUUGUGGCUCAGUGGCAGAGCACUUGCCUAGCAUGUGUGAGGCUCUGGGUUCGAUUCUCAGCACCA